UACGGAGGAUCCGAGCGUUAUCCGGAUUUAUUGGGUUUAAAGGGUGCGUAGGCGGCCUAUUAAGUCAGGGGUGAAAGACGGUAGCUUAACUAUCGCAGUGCCUUUGAUACUGAUAGGCUUGAAUGUACUUGAGGUAGGCGGAAUGUGACAAGUAGCGGUGAAAUGCAUAGAUAUGUCACAGAACACCAAUUGCGAAGGCAGCUUACUAUAGUAUGAUUGACGCUGAGGCACGAAAGCGUGGGGAUCAAACAGG
rnacentral:rRNA from 1 species